rnacentral:rRNA from 1 species
GACGGAGGAUGCAAGUGUUAUCCGGAAUGAUUGGGCGUAAAGCGUCCGCAGGUGGCUAUGUAAGUCUGCUGUUAAAGAGUGAGGCUCAACCUCAUAAGAGCAGUGGAAACUACAUGGCUAGAGUGCGUUCGGGGCAGAGGGAAUUCCUGGUGUAGCGGUGAAAUGCGUAGAUAUCAGGAAGAACACCGGUGGCGAAAGCGCUCUGCUAGGCCGCAACUGACACUGAGGGACGAAAGCUAGGGGAGCGAAUGGG